UUAAAUCAGUUAUCGUUUAUUUGAUAAUACCUUACUACUUGGAUAACCGUGGUAAUUCUAGAGCUAAUACAUGCUGAAAAUCCCGACUUCGGAAGGGAUGUGUUUAUUAGAUAAAAAACCAAUGCCCUUCGGGGCUCUUUGGUGAUUCAUGAUAACUUUACGGAUCGCAUAGCCUUGCGCUGGCGACGGUUCAUUCAAAUUUCUGCCCUAUCAACUUUCGAUGGUAAGGUAUUGGCUUACCAUGGUUUCAACGGGUAACGGGGAAUUAGGGUUCGAUUCCGGAGAGGGAGCCUGAGAAACGGCUACCACAUCCAAGGAAGGCAGCAGGCGCGCAAAUUACCCAAUCCCGACACGGGGAGGUAGUGACAAUAAAUACUGGUACAGGGCUCUUUUGAGUCUUGUAAUUGGAAUGAGUACAAUUUAAACCUCUUAACGAGGAACAAUUGGAGGGCAAGUCUGGUGCCAGCAGCCGCGGUAAUUCCAGCUCCAAUAGCGUAUAUUAAAGUUGUUGCAGUUAAAAAGCUCG
rnacentral:rRNA from 1 species